UGUGCAAUUGUGUCGCUUGUGAGCUCCAGAUCAGAGUCCAGGGUGUCUCUGCAAUGGCCUGGUCUCCUGUCCUCCUCCUCUUCCUGCUAGCUCAGUACCCAGGCUCCUGGGCGCAGACUGGACUGACACAGGAGGUAUCAGUGUCAGGGUCUGUAGGACAGACCGUCACCCUCUCCUGCACUGGAACCAGCACCAAUGUUGGUACCUAUAAUGCAGGGUGGUACCAGCAGAUUCCUGGUGCUCCCCCCAAAACUGUGAUGCUUGGAAGUACUCGACCUACAGGGAUCCCAGCUCGGUUCACUGGUUCAAAAUCUGGAAACAAGGCGACUCUGACCAUCUCAGGCGUGCAGCCUGAGGAUGAGGCUGAUUAUUACUGUUCUACAUGGGACUACAGUAUCAACAAUGACACAUUGCUUCAGACUCAAGGGGAAAUGAGACAAAAACCCAACCCUGGUCUAAGUGACCAUCCACAACGACCUGUCAAAUCAGGAAACAGAGCUGUGGAGACUGUACUGUCUGAGUAUAAUUCUAAGUACAGACACACUGAACAGGCAGUGAAAGAGGAAGAUGAGACAUAUACAGAAUACAGAGAAGUUGGGCAGCCCCAGAUUCUUGGGGUGCCUGAGGAGGAACCCGAGAAACCUGUGUCAGGCAAGUCUGAAUUCUGCUUCAACAGAAGCUCCAUCUACACUUGUUUACCAAUCUGA